AUUCAAAAAAAAUUUUUUUUUUUUUUGAGAGAGAGAGAUAGGUAGUACGGUAUCCGCUUCGUUUAUUUCAUUUAGAAAUAAAUUUUGCUGGAAAUGUGAAUCAACUAGGAUUCGAACUUGGGUCUCGGGUACCAACCACCAAACCCUUUGCCACUUGCUUUAGGACGGUCGGUUAUAUGAUUCCAAAAGUUAAACUUAACUAUUAUACAAUUUAGCUCAUAUUUACUUGAGCAUUCUUUAUUAAAAAAUUUACAUUUAAC
rnacentral:lncRNA from 1 species